AACGAACGCUGGCGGCAGGCCUAACACAUGCAAGUCGAACGGACCCUUCGGGGUUAGUGGCGGACGGGUGAGUAACACGUGGGAACGUGCCUUUAGGUUCGGAAUAGCUCCUGGAAACGGGUGGUAAUGCCGAAUGUGCCCUUCGGGGGAAAGAUUUAUCGCCUUUAGAGCGGCCCGCGUCUGAUUAGCUAGUUGGUGAGGUAAUGGCUCACCAAGGCGACGAUCAGUAGCUGGUCUGAGAGGAUGACCGGCCACAUUGGGACUGAGACACGGCCCAAACUCCUACGGGAGGCAGCAGUGGGGAAUCUUGCGCAAUGGGCGAAAGCCUGACGCAGCCAUGCCGCGUGGAUGAUGAAGGUCUUAGGAUUGUAAAAUCCUUUCACCGGUGAAGAUAAUGACUGUAGCCGGAGAAGAAGCCCCGGCUAACUUCGUGCCAGCAGCCGCGGUAACAC
rnacentral:rRNA from 1 species